AUUGAACGCUGGCGGCAUGCCUUACACAUGCAAGUCGAACGGCAGCGCGGACUUCGGUCUGGCGGCGAGUGGCGAACGGAUGAGUAAUACAUCGGAACGUACCCUGUUGUGGGGGAUAACUAGUCGAAAGAUUAGCUAAUACCGCAUACGACCUGAGGGUGAAAGUGGGGGACCGCAAGGCCUCACGCAGCAGGAGCGGCCGAUGUCUGAUUAGCUAGUUGGUGGGGUAAAGGCCCACCAAGGCGACGAUCAGUAGCUAGUCUGAGAGGACGAUCAGCCACACUGGGACUGAGACACGGCCCAGACUCCUACGGGAGGCAGCAGUGGGGAAUUUUGGACAAUGGGGGCAACCCUGAUCCAGCAAUGCCGCGUGUGUGAAGAAGGCCUUCGGGUUGUAAAGCACUUUUGUCCGGAAAGAAAUCGCGCUGGUUAAUACCUGGCGUGGAUGACGGUACCGGAAGAAUAAGCACCGGCUAACUACGUG
rnacentral:rRNA from 1 species